ACAAGAACAAGAAGGUCAGCCCGCCAACCUUUGUGUCGACCAGUUUAACUCCUCGGCGACCCAAGAACCCUUUUGACUUGGAAGCAGAUCUGGCAUCAAUCCUGACCGAUGAAGAUGACUUCGCAGCUCUGGCCAAGUGUAAUUGGGUACUGGGCGACUUGCAAAUUGAGGUCGGCCAAAGCUCGCAGCAAAAUGCUCCGAAGGCGCCAACAGAGUAAACUUCAUUGAUUUGGCCUAAGAUCCAUGUAAUAGGUCUUUUUCAUAAGUCGGUACUGCUUUUGUGAUACUCUCGAAAGAAUCUUUACGUCGACCUUAAGGCGAUUUGAAAUAUUUGAUCCGCCAUUUGAAAAUCCUUUAAAAUGCUUAAUCCGCCAUGGAUGAAGUGACUUUGAUCAUCAACCUGACUUAGGUUUUGAAAACAACAUACGUGAAACCAAAUAAAUGAUAACAAAUAUUUUUAAGAUAAAUCAGGAAAAAGAUUUUGAAAACCUCGUGGUCAUGCCAUGAAGGAAAAUAAAAACAGUAAUUUUGUCGGCUCAUAAGGUCGCGACAGGAUGGGGCGAGUCAGAAAGCUCGAGCGCACACCCUAAAUGAUGGUUUCGUUGGCUCAUAAGGUCGCGACAGGAUGGGGCGAGUCAGAAAGCUCGAGCGCACACCCUAAAUGAUGGUUUCGUCGGCUCAUAAGGUUGCGACAGGAUGGGGCGAGUCAGAAAGCUCGAGUGCACACCCUAAAAUGAUGGUUUCGUCGGCUCAUAAGGUCGCGACAGGAUGGGGCGAGUAAGAAAGCUCGAGCACACACCCUAAAUGCUGGUUUCGUCGGCUCAUAAGGUCGCGACGGGAUGAGGCGAGUCAGAAAGCCCGAGUGGACAACCUAAAAUGAUGGUUUCGUCGGCUCGUAAGGUCGCGACAGGAUGAGGCGAGUCAGAAAGCCCGAGUGGACAACCUAAAAUGAUGGUUUCGUCGGCUCGUAAGGUCGCGACAGGAUGAGGCGAGUCAGAAAGCCCGAGUGGACAACCUAAAAUGAUGGUUUCGUCGGCUCGUAAGGUCGCGACAGGAUGAGGCGAGUCAGAAAGCCCGAGUGGACAACCUAAAAUGAUGGUUUCGUCGGCUCAUAAGGUCGCGACAGGAUGGGGCGAGUCAGAAAGCUCGAGCGCCACCCUAAGAUGAUGAUGUUUUCGUCGGCUCAUAAGGUCGCGACAGGAUGGGGCGAGUGAGAAAGCUCAAGCGCCACCCUAAAUGAUGAUGUUUUCGUUGGCUCAUAAGGUCACGACAGGAUGGGGCGAGUCAGAAAGCUCAAGCGCCACCCUAAAUGAUGAUGAUGUUUUCAUCGGCUCAUAAGGUCGCGAAAAGGAUGGGGCGAGUCAGAAAGCUGAAGCACCACCCUAAAUGAUGAUGAUGUUUCCGUUGGCUCAUAAGGUCGCGACAGGAUGGGGCGAGUCACAAAGCUCAAGCACCACCCUGAAUGAUGAUGAUGUUUUCGUCGGCUCAUAAGGUCGCGUCAGGAUGGGGCGAGUCAGAAAGCUCAAGCGCCACCCUAAAUGAUGAUGAUUCUAUCGGCUCAUAAGGUCGCAACAGGAUGACAAAAUUGUUCUUUAAUGAAAAAGCCCCCAAGUCGGAGAGUAUUUUUAACUUUAUUUCUUCAUAAUGAAACUGAAAAACUUACAAAAUGCAGAGCUCCAAGCUCAAGUGUAAUAAGGCCGCAGGUGGGCAAUAUUCCAGGGGCGAGUCGACUCAGCCUCCGUGGUUGGCCGGUUAGGCCGAAGAUCCACCAGGUAAUAAGAGCCCUUGCGGAGAUUCUUGCUGACGACGAACGGUCCUUCCCAAGGCGGUGAUAACUUAUGCAUGCCAGCACGAUCUUGUAUCAAUCGAAGAACCAAGUCGCCUUCUUGAAAGGUCCGACUUUUAACCCGGCGGUUGUGAUAACGCCGUAGAUCCUGCUGGUAGAUAGCUGAACGGGCCGCAACCAGGUCACGUGCCUCCUCUAAGGCGUCCAAAGAGUCUUGAUGCGCCAGCUCAUUGUCUUGUUCCACAUAUGCGGCGACUCUAGGUGAGUCAUGCCUUAUAUCAGUGGGAAGAACGGCUUCUGCUCCAUAGACCAGAAAGAAAGGGGUGAAACCUAUGGACCGGUUCGGGGUAGUCCGAAUACUCUACAGUACUGAAGGUAAUUCUUCAACCCAACACCCUGGGGUCUUCUCCAGGGGAACCAUGAGUCGGGGCUUAACUCCUCGCAAAACCUCCUGAUUCGCCCGCUUCGCCUGCCCAUUAGAUUGUGGGUGAGCGACUGCAGAAACAUCAAGCCGGAUAUGCUCUCGACGGCAAAACUCCUGCAUCGCCCCUUGGGACAAGUUAGUACCAUUAUCAGUAAUGAUACUGUGCGGAUAUCCAAACCGGAAAAUCAGCUUUUUCAGGAAUUUGACCACUGUCUCCGCAUCGCAAGCUCCAACAGGUUCUGCCUCAACCCACUUGGUGAACUUAUCAACUGCCACUAGCAGAUGGGUCUUCUUGUUAGAGGACAUUUUAAAGGGGCCGACCAUGUCCAGCCCCCAGACCACAAAAGGCCAAGUGAUGGGGAUCAUUCUUAAUUCUUGAACCGGCACAUGAGCCUGCCGCCCAUAACGCUGGCAUCCUUCGCACCGACGAACUAUAUCUUCUGCAUCAGCAUGAGCCGUCAGCCAAAAGAACCCAUGACGAAAAGCCUUUGACACCAAAGAGCGUGACCCGACAUGAUGCCCACAGUCUCCGGAAUGAAUGUCAUUUAAGAUUAUGCAUCCUUGUUCGGAGGAAACGCAUCGCUGAAAAACUCCAGAGGCGCUCCGCUUAUAUAACUCGCCAUUGAUGAUGACCAUGGAUUUGCUACGACGAACGAUUUGACGAGCCGAAACAUCGUCUGUUGGUAACUCACCCCUGGCGAGAUAAGCCAGAUAAGGAACAACCCAAUCUGGCGUGACGUGGAGAGCCGCCACGAGCUGAGACUCAGGAUCUGGUAUUGCCAACUCCUCCUCCGAUGGUAGAAUCACAGAUGGUUUAUGUAAAAUAUCUAGAAAAACAUUGGGAGGAACUGGCUUUCGCUGGGAACCAAGUCGUGAGAGGGCGUCAGCUGCCUCGUUGAGGCGCCGAUCAAUGUGGUCCACCUGAUAACCAUGAAAAUGACCCGCUACAUCAGACACAGCUCUUUUGUAAGCUGCCAUCAUGGGGUCCCGAGAAUCCCAGGUACCCGAAACUUGCUGGGCCACCAAAUCAGAGUCGCCAAAGCAUCUGACUCGCGUUAAAUUCAUCUCCUUGGCGAGUCGCAAGCCGUGAAGCAAAGCUUCGUAUUCCGCCGCAUUGUUAGUGCAUGGGAACAUGAGUCGGAGAACGUAGAAAAAUUUAUCUCCUUGGGGGGAUACUAACACCACACCAGCCCCCGAGCCUUCCAGCUGCCUAGAUCCAUCAAAAUAAAUAGUCCAAUAAGUGAGAUCAGGCCUGUCUUCCGGAGCUUGCAACUCCGUCGAGUCGUUGACGAAAUCAACUAAAGCCUGAGACUUGAUGGCCGUGCGGGGGGCACAUUGUAUCUGGUGCGGCCCAAGUUCAAUUGCCCACUUGGCAAUCCGCCCUGUUCCCUCCCGAUUCUGGAUGAUGUCCCCAAGGGGGGCAGAGCUAACCACUGUGAUAGGGUGUUCUUGGAAGUAAUGCUUAAGUUUCCGACUCGCCAUAAACAACCCAUAUACCAACUUCUGCCAGUGUGGGUACCGCUGCUUGGAAAGGGUUAGCACCUCGCUGAUAAAAUACAUCGAACAUUGCACCGGGUAUUCCUUCCCCCCCUCAUUUCUUUCAACGACCACUGCCACACUUACUGCUUUGGAAUUUGCCGCGAUAUACAGAAGCAUGGGUUCUUUUUCAGUCGGGGCAGCCAAGACCGACGGGUUAACCAAUUGGCAUUUUAGGGCUUCCAGCGCCUCGUCUGCCUCAUUCGUCCAAACAAACUGAUCAUAUUUCCUUAAUAACUGAUAAAGAGGAAUCGCCUUAUCACCGAGGCGACUUACGAAACGACUUAGGGCCGCAAUGCGACCCGCCAAUCGUUGAACUUGAUUAACGUUCGCCGGCUUUCCAAGGGAGGUUACUGCUUCGAUCUUGUCUGGGUUAGCUUCAAUGCCGCGCUCUGAUACCAGGAAGCCCAGUAAUUUCCCUGCACGCACACCAAAAACACAUUUGGUGGGAUUUAGCUUCAUCUGAUAUACCCGUAGAUUAUCAAACGUUUCCUUGAGAUCCUCCAGUAGUGUCUCCCCCUGGCGGGUUUUGAUCACAAUAUUGUCGACAUAGGCGUGGACGUUGCGACCGAUUUGAUUGCGUAGGCAAUUCUGGAUGCAGCGCUGGUAAGUCGCCCCCGCACUCUUGAGUCCAAAAGGCAUGGACACAUAACAAAAAGCCCCGAAGGGGGUUAUAAAAGCUGUCUUUUCUUGAUCCUCCACGGCCAUCUUGAUUUGGUGAUAUCCUGAGUAGGCCUCCAAAAAGCACAAUCGUUCGCAUCCCGCCACCGAGUCAAUGAUCUAGUCGAUGCGGGGAAGAGCGAAGGGAUCCUUUGGACAAGCUCUGUUGAGGUCUGUGUAGUCAAUGCACAUUCGAAAGGUACCGUUCUUCUUGAGUACCAAAACCGGGUUAGCCAGCCAUUUGGGGUGAAAAACUUCCACGAUGAAUCCGGCAGCUAAAAGACGGGCAACCUCUUCUCCAAUCGCCUUGCGUCGCUCCUCGUUAAAUCUGCGAUGGUACUACUGGAUGGGUUUUGCCUUUGGGUCCACAUGAAGAUGGUGCUCAGCGAAUUCUCUCGGCACACCAGGCAUGUCAGAAGGUUUCCAUGCGAAGAUGUCCCGAUUCUCACGGAUGAAUUCGAUGAGCGCGCUUUCCUAUUUGGGGUCCAGACCCGUCCCAAUGGUGAACUGCUUGGAUGAAUUGCCAGGAACAAAAUCGAUUGUCUUAGUGUCAUCCGUUGGCUUGAACUUGAGGGGCGACUCAGCAUCUGUAGUCGGCUUCUUUAGGGGUGACAUGUCCGCUGGGUCAACAUUGGCCCGAUGGUGUCUGAGCUCCUCUGCAGCGCAGGCGACUUCCGCGUAAGCCGCGUCCCCUUCUUCACAUUCCUUUGCAAUCCUUCUAUCUCCAUCAACCGUGAUGGGUCCUUUGGGACCAGGCAUUUUGAGCUUGAGGUAAACAUAACACGGGCGAGCCAUGAAGCGGGCGUAAGCCGGCCGCCCAAAUAACGCAUGGUAGGGGCUUUUCAAUUUGACCACCUCGAAAAUCAGUGACUCUGGCCUAUAAUUCUGCGCAGUUCCAAACGCCACUGUGAGUCUGACUCGGCCUAGGGGGUAGGCCAACUUGCCCGGGACGAUUCCGUGGAAGACCGUGGUUGAAGGCAUCAGGUCCUUUUCCAAUAGGUUCAUCCUUUGGAAAGUGUCAAAAUAUAAGAUAUUAAUGCUGCUGCCACCAUCCAUUAGCACUUUGGACAGGGUGUAACCCCCAACUUGGGGAGCCACGACCAAUGCUAAAUCGCCUGGGUUGUCAACUCUUGGCGGGUGAUCCUCCCUGCUCCAUGUUAUGGUCUGCUCAGACCAAUCAAGGUAUCUGGGAAGCGCCGGUUCAGAUACACUGUACGCCCGGUGACUCGCCUUCUUAUCGCGCCUGCAAGCAUUGGUGGUGAAAACAUGAUACUGCCCAUUACUUAACUAUUUGGGGUUGCUGCGGAAACCCCCGUUAUCAUCCUGACCCUGCGGAGCCCCCUGUGGGGGUGGCUGUUGAAAGGCUCCUAGCGGGUUAUACCGCCGCUGGUGGUGCACCGGGUAUUGGCCGCCACCUGGCUGUGGGCCUCCCUGAGCCCCGUAUUCAGGAAAGCCGCCGAAGGGGUUCUGUCGUUGGUUGGGUGUGGCGAACUGCUCCUGGCGUUGGUUCGGGUCAUCGUUUUGACUUUUCUUGAUCACCUCCGCCCGAAAUUCCCGCAUUACGAAGCAAUUCUCCCAGGAGUGAGUCGCCGGACCGUUUGCCGUGGCAUGGUGCGGGCAAGGGCCUUUGAGUAGCUCUUCAUAGUUAUGCGGCCUCUUCCCGCUAAACCCCCUGUUUUUCUUCUGGCGUUGGUUGCCAUUGUUGGUGUUGGUAUUGGCGACUAAGUCCCAGGGCUCCUCCUGCGGUCUUCGCUUGCUAUUGGCCCCUUGAUUGUGGCGGUUGCGUCCCUGGAACCGGGUAUGGUUUUUGGAUGACUCGCCCUUUUUGGGCGAAUUAGCCUUACCGUCCUCACCAGGAUCUUUGGUGUCAUCUGCCUCAGCGUACCUAGUGAGGGUGUCCAUCAGCUCUCCCAUGUCUUGGACCUUUCGCUUGAGUCGCCCCAAUUUUUGCACCAAGGGUUCGUAAUGGCAAUUCUGCUCGAGGAUCAGCACAGCUUGAGCCGCCGUAAUACCAUCCAACGAAUGGACAAUUUCUGCAACCCGCCGUGACCAAUGGUGAGCCGACUCAUCCGGGCGCUGAACAUAGUGUUGUAGAUCGACGAUCGUCAUCGGACGUUUGCAAGUUCCUCGGACGUUUUUGAUGAAACGCUUUUUUAACUCGGCCCAGGUUUGGAUGGAGUUGGGAGGUAAGUUUUUCAACCAAGCAUGUGCUGACCCCUCAAGCAUCAUCGUGAAGUAUCUAGCGCAAACUGCCUAGUUUACGUCGAGCAUGUCCAUGGCUAUUUCAUAACUCUCGAUCCACGAUGCCGGCUCAAGGUCCGGGGUGUAAUUAGGCACCUUUCUUGGUCCCUUAAAAUCUUUGGGCAUCCUUUCGUUACGAAGGGCGAGGGCCAAGCAUGGCACCCCAACUCGCCCUCCGCCCCCGACGAGGGGGGCCGGGGCGUCUUGGGUGUUCGGGAGAUCCCGGCCCGGCGGGUUCCAAUCAGGCGGGUUGUCCUGCGGGACGUGUCGCGGCCCGCUGUUUACGGCGGGCUGGUCCUCUGGCCGGCUCCUGGUGUAGCUUGCCUGGGGAGUGGAAUGCAACCUCUCGAGGCUGUGUGAGAACUGGGCGUUUUGAACCACCGACGUCUUCAACAUCUCGAUGGCGUUCCUUGCUUCUAUCUCGGCAGGAGUGUUGCCGUGAAUCGGGAGAGAUUCCAGAUGGCGAGUUGCGGCAAGGACGUUGUCCACCGGGUUGGAAAAGUGGCCUUGAGGCGUCCGGAAUCGGGGAGUGCGAUCCCCAGCCGGCUGACCCGGCGGGUUAGGCGGGCGACCCGGCCCUCCCCCCGGGGCGGCUCCCGCCCCAGGGGUUCGUGGAGUGUCGAACAGGUCGCUCGGGUUGAGAUCAUGGGGCAGGCGACCCUGGUGUCUCCGUUGAUGGACGGCGUCAGAUGCGCGUUGUUGUCUUUCGAGCCGCCCGUUGUCAGUGUUUAUCGCAUCCUUUCGGCCGCAAUUUGAGCUUGCCGAGUCUCGAUCCUAGGAGACUCCACCUCGGCAUCCCGAUGAGCCUUUGCCACUGCCUCUCUGAGUUUCGCCAGCUCCGCGUUUAUCUCCUCCUAGUUUUCUGGUGUAAGGGGAGUCGUCAUCAGCCUUGUGAUUUCUGCCGCUAAAUCCACCAGGACUACGGCCGGGCUUCUGGACGUCCCGCCGGCUCCAUCGCCUCCGGUGGGGUUUUGUGUGGGUUGAGUCGCCCCCGCCAUGUAAAUGGCGAUCUGACGGCGGGUUCGGUCAAGGACUUCGGGGUCCAUGGCCAGCGACAAGCCCCCAAGACAAUCCCCAUGUAGAGAUCGGAUUGAGUCUGAAUCGCCCAUGGAUGAUUCGUCAUCACAGUUGACCGGUGUAGUUUCCUGAGUCGCCGAGCGCUCUGGCUCCUCCGAUCCCUGCGUGAACCCCACAAAGACCGGGCGAGUCAGAUUUGGCGUUAUUACUGGGCGGACGUACCUGGCCGGCUCGACGAUGUCGGUGGAGAUGUCCGGCUCAGGCAUGGAUGAUCCGAUCAUGCCGAUGAAGAUGUUGAUAUUGCCGAAGGGGACCCUGUAACCAGAUUCAAUCGAAUCUGCUUUGGGCCCCCAUCGCUGGUUGUCGAUGUAGGUUUUCCCGCGGCGGCUCCGGGUCAUGAGCCCCGUCGCGUAACUCCCAAACCCUGGUAGGGCUCCCUUUGAGAACUCAACUCCGCCGUGCGCAAGCCCCACGGUGGGCGCCAACUGUCGUGGUUUUGUCACGACAGAUGUCCUCGUGAAAGGACUUAGUACUGGAGCCAUCGCACCUUGGCGGCGACUCAAAGGGGUUAAGCGGGAGAGACACGGCGAUUUACCCAGGUUCGGCCCCUCGUGAGGAGGUAAAGGCCUACGUCCUGCUUUGGUUUGUAUUGAUGUGGUUUCGAUUACAAGGAAGGCAUAACUCGCCAGACCUAGCACUCGAUGAUUUCUAACCUACCCCUCUCCUUCCCUAGGGCUCGCCUUUAUAUACAGGCCGAACCCUUAGGGUUUACAAGGAUACUUUCCUUUCUACAAAUCGUGACCCCUGCGGUCUCUAAGUCGCCGUCCUUCAAAGCUUGGAGACUUUCCAGAAAUCAUAAACCGCCAUAGGACCUCCGUGCUGAUAACGCCAAGGCCCAAAUCAUUGUUUAGGUGAAUCGCCUGAUUUGGUGACCCGGCCCAACUAGGGAGGGUUAUUAACAGGUAAUAUCCCCAACACAAACCAUGAAGCAAAGCUUCGUAUUCUUCUACAUUGUUAGUACAUGGAAACAUGAGUCGGAGGACAUAGCAGAACUUAUCACCGUGAAGAGAAGUUAUCACCACGCCAGCACCGAGCCUUCUAACUGUCUGGACCCUUCAAAGUAGAUGGUCCAAUAUGUAAGAUCUGGUCUUUCCUCAGGGAUUUGUAACACGGUCAAAUCAUUGAUGAAGUCCACGAGCGCUUGAGACUUGAUAGCCGUCCGCGGUGUAUACCGAAUCUGAUGAGGACCCAACUCAAUAGCCCAUUUAGCAAUCCGUCCAGUGGGUUCUCGGUUAUGUAUAAUGUCACUAAGGGGAGCAGAGCUGACAACCGUGACCGGGUGUUCCUGAAAGUAAUGUUUCAACUUUCGACUCGCCAUGAACACUCCAAAAACCAACUUUUGCCAAUGCGGGUAACGUUGCUUGGAGAGAGUAAGGACUUCGCUGAUGAAGUAUACCGGCCUUUGGACGGGGUAUUCCUUCCCUUCCUCCUUUCGCUCGACAACUAUUGCCACACCGACGACUCUGGAAUUGGCCGCAAUGUACAGGAGCAUAGGCUCUUUGUCUGCGGGGGCCGCUAGCACCGGCGGGCUAGCUAAUUGCUGCUUCAAGGCUUCGAAAGCAUCGUUGGCCUCAUCCGUCCACACGAAACGAUCGGUCUUCUUGAGUAGCUGAUAGAGAGGGAUGGCCUUCUCCCCAAGGCGACUUAUGAAACGGCUCAAAGCCGCGAUUCGAUGCGCCAUGCGCUCUACUUGAUUAACGUUGGCUGGUUUUCCAAGCGAAGUAAUCGCGACAAUCUUCUCUGGGUUGGCCUCGAUUCCUCGCUCUGACACCAGGAAACCCAACAGCUUCCCUCUGGGGCACCAAACACACACUUGGUGGGGUUGAGCCUCAUCUGGUAAACACGCAGGUUGUCGAAUGUUUCUUUGAGAUCUUCCAACAGUGAUUCCUUGCGAUGAGAUUUGACCAUGAUGUCGUCCACCUAAGCGUGAAAGUUACGGUCUAUCUGGCUGUGUAGGUAGUUUUGGAUGCAGCGCUGGUAAGUUGCCCCCGCGCUUUUAAGCCCAAACGACAUGGACUCAUAACAGAAAGCUCCAAAAGGGGUUAUGAAGGAUGUCUUUUCCUGAUCCGCCACCGCCAUUUUUAUCUGGUGGUAUCCUGAGUAGGCGUCCAAGAAGCACAGACGUUCGCAACCUGACGCCGAGUCAAUGAUUUGAUCAAUGCGAGGAAGGGCGAACAGACCCUUUGGGCAGGCUCUAUUAAGGUCCGUGUAAUCAAUGCACAUGUGGAAAGUGCCAUUCUUUUUGAGUACCAAGACCGGGUUAGCCAGCCACUCCGGGUGAAAAACCUCGAUGAUGAAACCGGCGGCAAGGAGCCGGGCCACUUCUUCUCCAAUUGCCUUACGACGUUCUUCAUUAAACCGGCAGAGGUACUGCCGCACCGGCUUAACCUUGGGGUCAGUAUUGAGAUGGUGCUCAGCGAAUUCUCUCGGUACAGCCGGCAUGUCAGAAGGUUUCCAUGCAAAGAUGUCCCGAUUCUCUCGGAUGAAUUCCAUGAGCACGCUUUCCUAUUUGGGGUCAAGACUCGCCCCAAUAGUGAACUGCUUGGUUGAGUCGCCUGGCGUAAUAUCAAUGACCUUGGUGUCGUCUGCUAGUUUGAACUUGAGGGGCGGCUCGGAAUCGACCGUCGGCUUUUUGAGCGGCGUCAUGUUUUCCGGGUCGACGCGGGAUUUGUGAAACUUAAGCUCCUCGGCCGCGCAAGCUGACUCGGCAUAGGCGGCGUCUCCUUCCUCGCAUGCUUGGGCUAUCUUUCUGUUGCUGUGGACGGUGAUGGGACCCUUGGGUCCAGGCAUCUUGAGCUUGGGAUAAACAUAACAUGGGCGGGCCAUGAACUUGGCGUAAGCUGGUCGUCCAAACAACGCAUGGUAGGGACUUUUGAUCUUGACCACUUCGAACUAGAGAGACUCGCUCAUGUAGUUUGACUCCGUGCCAAAAGCCACAUUAAGUUUGAUUCGCCCAAUGGGGUAUGCCGACUUACAAGGCACAAUACCGUGGAAGACGGCAUCAGGUCCUUCUCGAGGAGGUUCAUCCGCCGGAAAGUGUCGAAUUAUAAGAUGUUGAUGCUGCUACCCCCGUCCAUAAGGACUUUGGAGAGGGUGUAUCCUCCGACUUGAGGAGCUACGACCAGGGCUAAGUCGCCAGGGUUGUCGACUCGGGGCGGAUGGUCCUCCCGGCCCCAUGUUAUGGGUUGUUCCGACCAGUGAAGGUAUCGAGGAAGCGCCGACUCAGCUAUGAAAGUUCUGUGCUUUACCUUGCGAUCCCGUUUACAGGUGUUAGUGGUAAACACGUGGUACUGCCCGUUGUUCAACUGCUUGGGGUUGUUUUGGAACCCGCCCCGAUCCUCUUGUCGCUGGGGGUCUCCUUGCGGGUGAGGUUGUUGGAAUAUUCCCGGUGGGUGAUAUUGCUGGUUAUGGACUUGGUAUUGACCGGCAUUGUGCUGUGACCCGCCCUGUGGUCCUUGGUUGGGGAAGCCCCUGUAUCUGGCCUGUCGUGACCUGGACGGGCCGGGUUGCUCCUGCCGCUGACCCUGCUCGCCACCUUGGCUUCUUUUGAGCGCCUCAGCCCGGAACUCUUGCAUCACAUAGCAAUCUUCCCAUGAGUGAGUCGCCGGCCCAUCAGGUGUAGUGUGCUAUGGGCACGAGCCCUUAAGCAUUUCAUGGUAAUUACGCGUUUUUCCCACUGAAGCGCCAUUUCUUCUGACGCGGGUUUGAAUUUCCAGUAUUAGUAUUAGCUACAAACUCUACAUGACUCUCCUGCUACCGCUUCUUGCCAUGCCCGCCAUGGUGGUUAUUCCCCCGGUUCUGGAACUGGGAUUGGCCAUUUUGCAACUCGCCCUUGCGGAUAGCUCCGGCUUUGUCGUCGCCCUACCCGGGAUCCUUGAUGUCAUCCGACUCAGCAUAUCUGGUAAGGGCGUCCAUCAGCUCGCCCAUGUCCUGCACCUUCCGCUUGAGUCUCCCUAGUUUCAGCACCAGGGGCUCGUAGUGGCAAUUUUCCUCCAGGAUCAACACCGUCUGAGCCGUCGAAAUCCCUUCCGACGAAUGGAUAACUUCCACUACUCACCGGGUCCAGUGGUGGGCCGACUCAUCCGGCCGCUGAACGCAAUGCUGUAAGUCGACGAUGGUCAUCGGGCGUUUGCAGGUUCCUCUGAAGUUCUUGAUGAAGCGCUCCUUCAGCUCCCCCCAGGUGUUGAUAGAGUUAGGCGGCAGAUUUUUCAACCAGGUGCGGGCCGUCCCUUCGAGCAUCAUGGUGAAGUACUUUGCGCAAACCGCCUCGCUAACGUCCAUCAUAUCCAUCGCGAGCUCAUAGCUCUCGAUCCAUAACCUGGGCUCGAGAUCUGGCGAGUAAUUGGGAACCUUCCUGGGUCCUUUGAAGUUCUUUGGCAUGCGCUCGUUGCACAAAGCUGGCGCGAGACACGAUACUCCAAUGUGCUUGCCUCCACCAUCCAGGGGCGUCGGUGGUACAUAGGCUAGAUAGACCUAACCCGCCAUGGCCGUUGGCUCCAUGUGUCGCACGGCUCGUGCUACGUCCACAAUAUCCUGGGCUCGUGUGUCAGGCAUCCCAAGUAGAUCAUGUUGGGGGAGCCGUCGCGGCCCGCUGGUCACUGCGGGAAAAUCCUCGUGGCGACUUCUGGCGUGACUCGCCUGAGGCGUAGAGUGGAGACGGUCGAGGCUAUGGGAAUACUGCACGUGCUAGACCACGGCCGUCUUUAGCAUCUCGAUGGCGUUUCUAGCUUCUAUCUCGGUCGGGGUGUUUCCGUAAAUCGGAAGANNNNNNNNNNNNNNNNNNNNNNNNNNNNNNNUCGGAAGAGACUCCAGGUGGCGGGUUGCGGCCACCAUGUUGUCAACGGGGUUUGAGAAGUGACCCCGCGGGGUCUGGAAUCGUGUUGCAUGAACGUCCAUGGGCUGAUCCGGUGGCAGAUUGGAUGGUGGAAUCGUUCCGCCCCUCGGGGCGGUUUGCAGAGGGCGAUCAGGACCCACCCGAGGGGUGCGCUGGGUGUCGAAGAGGCGAGUCGGGUGAAAGUCGGCCGGGACGUGCCCGCCAUGUCUUCUUUGGUGGAUGGCGUCGGACGUGCGUUGCUAUAUCCCGAGCCGCCAGCCUUCGGUGUUAAGCCGAUCGGUCUCCGCAGCGACCGCAUCCCGUUGCGUCUCAAUCCUGGCGGCUUCUGCUUCCAUGUCGCGUUGUGCUUUGGCCAUUGCCUCCCGCAUCUUGGCCAGCUCAGCGUUGACCGACUCUUGAAUCUCAGACGUGACUGGGGUUGCCAUAAGGUUGGCUAUCUCCGUUGCCAGUUCCGUCAUGGUCUGCGCUGGCGGUUUGGACGUUCCUCCAGUCUCGUUGUUACCGGUCGGGUUCUGAGGAGGCUAUGCUGAUCCUGCCAUGUAGAUGGCGAUUUGCCGGUGAGAUCUCUCGAGGACUUCGGGGUCCAUCGCUAGCGAUAGCCCCCCGAGCCGCCCUUCCUCAAGGUGGUGGAUCGACGCCGUCUCGUCCAUGGAUAACUCGCCAUCGGAAUUGACGAGGGUGAUGUCCUGGCCCGCCCCUUUGUCCUCCGAGUUGCUUCCCUGCAUGAAGCCGACGAAAACCUGGCGGCUUUUGUUCCGCCGUGUGACGGGGUGGACGUACCUGGCCGGCUCGACGAUGUCGAUGGAGGUGUCCGGCUCAGGAACAGGGGUCCCGAUCAUGCCAAUGAAGAUGUUGAUCUUGCCGAAGGGGACUCGGUAGCCAGAUUCGACGGAAUCGGCCUUCGAUUCCCAUAGCGAGUUGUUGAUGUGGUACUUCCCACGGUGACUCUUGGUCAUGAUGCCGACAACGUAGCUUUCUAACUCUGAUAGGGCUCCCUUCGAGAACUCAACUCCACCGUGCGCUAGCCCCACGGUGUGCGCCAACUGUUGUGGUUUUGUCACGGCAGAUGUCCUCGUGAAAGGACUUAAAGAUUGAGCCAUCGCACCUUGGUGGCGACUCAAAGGGGGUGAGCGAAAGCAAGACUCAGAUUUACCCAGGUUCGGCCCCUCGUGAGGAGGUAAAAGCAUACGUCCUGCUUUGUGUAGAUUGAUGACGGUUUCGAUUACAAGGAGGGCGUAACUCGCCUAACCUAGCUCUCGAUUCUCUCUAACUCGCCUGACCUCUCCCCGGGACUCGGCUUUAUAUACAGGUUGAGGCCCUAGGGUUUACAAAGUCCUACUCUCCUACACUUGGUAGUUUUCCUUAUCUCUAAGUCACCGUGCUCCUCAUGAUUCAAAGCUUCCUUGAUAUUCCAUCACCCGUACGGUCUUCUUGAACCGCCACACAGCUCCUGGGCCACUGGACAUAUGACCAAAGAUGAUUCGCCCCCUUUGGUGACCCGGCCCAUUAAGGGCGGGUUACCCACAUGUAACAUCCCCAACACGAUCCGUUCCGAUCUAGUGCCGAACAGACGACACCUCCGUGUUCAGCACACGUAAAACUCGAUGAUGAUCUCAGCCUUCUUGAUCCAGCAAGAGAAACAGAGAGGUAGAUGAGUUCUCCAGCAGCGUGACGGAGCUCCGGAGGUUGGUGAUGAUCUAUCUCAGCAGGGCUCCGCCCGAGCUCCGCAGAAAUACGAUCUAGAGGAAAAACCGUGGAGGUAUGUGGUCGGGCUGCCGUGGCAAAACUUGUCUCAAAUCAGCCCUAAUACCUCAGUAUAUAUAGGAGGGAGGGGGAGGGAAGAGGCAGCCUCAAACCCUCAAGGUUUGGCCGAAAUUGGAGGUGGAGGAGUCCUACUCCAAUCCUACUUGGAGUAGGAUUCCACCUUCCCACUUGGAAACUCUUUCCACCUUGAGUUUUUUCCUUCUCAAAACUUAUGGGCCUUAGUGGGAACUUAUUCCAGCCCACUCGGGGCUAGUUUAUAUCUUCCCAUAGCCCAUGAGACCCCUUGGGGCGUGACAACCUUCCCGAUGGUCCCCGACACCCCUCCCGGCACUCCCGGUACACUACCGAUGAGCCCGAAACUUUUCCGGUGACCAAAACAAGACUUCCUAUAUAUCAAUCUUUACCUCCGGACCAUUCCGAAGCACCUCGUGAUGUCCUGGAUCUCAUCCGGGACUCCGAACAACUUCCGGUUACCAACCAUAUAACUCAAAUACACAUAAAACAUCAUCAAACCUUAAGUGUGCAAACCCUACGGGUUCGAGAACUAUGUAGACAUGACCCGAGAGACUCCUCGGUCAAUAUCCAAUAGCGGGACCUGGAUGCCCAUAUUGGAUCCUACAUAUUCUCUGAAGAUCUUAUCGGUUGAACCUCAGUGUCAAGGAUUCAUAUAAUCCUGUAUGUCAUUCCAUUUGUCCUUCGGUAUGUUACUUGCCCGAGAUUCGAUCAUCGGUAUCCGCAUACCUAUUUCAAUCUCGUUUACCGGCAAGUCCCUUUACUCGUUCCGUAAUACAAGAUCCCGUGACUUACACUAAGUCACAUUGCUUCCAAGGCUUGUGUGUGAUGUUGUAUUACCGAGUGGGCCCCGAGAUACCUCUCCGUCACACGGAGUGACAAAUCCCAGUCUUGAUCCAUCCUAACUCAACGGGCACCUUCGGAGAUACCUGUAGAGCAUCUUUAUAGUCACCCUAUUACGUUGUGACGUUUGAUACACACAAGGCAUUCCUCUGGUGCCAGUGAGUUAUAUGAUCUCAUGGUCAUAGGAAUAAAUACUUGACACGCAGAAAACAGUAGCAACAAAAUGACACGAUCAACAUGCUAUGUUUAUUAGUUUGGGUCUAGUCCAUCACAUGAUUCUCCUAAUGAUGUGAUCCCGUUAUCAAGUAACAACACUUGCCUAUGGCCAGGAAACCUUUACCAUCUUUGAUCAACGAGCUAGUCAACUAGAGGCUUACUUGGGAAAGUGUUUUGUCUAUGUAUCCACACAAGUAUUGUGUUUCCAAUCAAUACAAUUAUAGCAUGGAUAAUGAAUGAUUAUCAUGAACAAAGAAAUAUAAUAAUAACUAAUUUAUUAUUGCCUCUAGGGCAUGUUUCCAACACUUUCCUCCCAAACCAUCCAAGAAAAAGGAUGAUGAGGAUUUUGAGCGCUUUGUUGAAAUGAUUAGACCUGUGUUUCUGCAAAUGCGUCUGACAGAUAUGCUCAAAAUGUCUCCGUAUGCUAAGUACAUGAAAGAUAUUGUGACCAAAAAAAGGAAGAUACCCGAGGUCGAGAUUUCCACCAUGCUUGCCAACUACACCUUCAAGGGUGGAACUCCUAAGAAACUAGGUGAUCCCGGAGUGCCCACUAUACCUUGCUCUAUUAAAGGAAACUACAUUAGAACUGCUUUAUGCGAUCUUGGAGCCGGUGUUAGUGUUAUGCCUCUCUCUCUCUUUAUCGUAGACUUGAAUUGGAUAAGUUGACACCCACUAAAAUCUCCUUGCAAAUGGCCGACAAAUCAACUGCUUUUCCUAUCGGCAUUUGCGAGGAUGUGCGUGUUGUGAUUGCUAACGUUACUAUCUUAACGGACUUUGUUAUUCUGGAUAUUCCCCAGGAAGAUGCCUUGGCGGUCAUCCUUGGAAGACCCUUUUUAAACACUGCAGGAGCUGUUAUUGAUUGCAACAAAGGCAAUGUCACUUUCCAUGUCAAUGGUAAUGAGCAUACAGUGCACUUUCCGAAGAAACAAUAUCGAGUACAUUGCAUCAAUGCUAUUGAAAAAACUUCAUCAAUUCUUAUUGGGAGCUUUGAAUGCCCUAUACCUACUGUCAAGAUGAAGUAUGGUUUUCUUGUUGGGGAUAUGCACAUCCCCAUUGAGGUAACCUAGUGACUGUUCGAAAAAUCUCCGGUUCUAUGUGAUUCUAAAAGAGUUUGUCAUGGAGACUUGAUCAACCUCAUUGACGGAUUUCUUUUGAUGACCAUGAGAUGGAUGAAUCUAGGAGUCACAACCCUCCUUGUUGGUAAUUGACCGGAGAGGUGUCUCCUUCAUGUCUACAUGCUUCUCGAACCCGUAGGGUCUACACACUUAAGGUUCGAUGACACUAGGGUUAUAGGGAAAUAGUGUACGUGGUUAUCGAAGGUUUUUCAGAGUCCUGGAUGAGAUCCGGACGUCAUGAGGAGUUCCGGAAUGGUCCGGAGGUAAAGAUUUAUAUAUAGGAAGUGAGGAUUUGGUCACCGGAAGUGUUUCGGGCGAUACCGGUAAUGUACCAGGACCACCUGAAGGGUUCCGGGGGUCCACCGGGAAGGGCCACCAGCCCCAUAUUGCUACAUGGGCCAAAUGGUGGGUGGGGAUCAGCCCCUAAGUGGGCUGGUGCACCUCCACCAUCAGCCCAAGGCGCAGCAAGGGGGUAAGGGGCCAAACCCUAGGAGUGGAGGGGCUGCCUUAGGCCCAAAUCCCACCUUUGUGCGCCACCCCUCCACCCCUUAGGGCGGCCGCACCCCUUAGGAUAGAAACCCUACGGGUGGGCACCCUCCUCCCUCUCCUCCUAUAUAUAUUGGAGGGUGUUUGGGCUCCAAGACACAACUUCUUCCACCUCCAGGGCGCAGCCCUACUCCUCCUCCUCCUCAUCCUCCGUAGUGCUUGGCGAAGCCCUGUCAGAGUACCACGUAGCUCCACUGUCACCAUGCCGUCGUGCUUCCAGAGCUGUACCUCAACCUCUACUCCCUCCUUGAUGGAUCAAGGCGUUGCAAACGUCACCAGGAUGCAUGUGUUUUGAAUGCGGAGGCGCCGUUGUUCGGCGCAUAGAUCAGAAUCCACUGCGAUCUGAAUCGCUGCGAGUGCGACUCCAUCAACCGCGUUCUAGCAAUGCUAUCGCCUAGUGAUCUUCAAAGGUAUGAAGAUGAUCUACCCCUUAGCUCGUUGUUGGUUUCUCCAUACAUACAUCCUUGCAUUAAUUUGGUCUUUUCGGUCUUGUGUAAUGAAGAUGAACCUGCAAUGGAUGUACGAAGACCGACGCUCUCCCCAGUUCAUUAAUGGCUUGUAGAGUUUUCUACGAACGGCUGAUGCAAACAAGCGGGAUGGUUUUAUGUGGUGUCCAUGUGCUAUCUGUAAGAAUGAUAAAAGUUACUCUAAAUCAAAAUUCAUUCACAUCCACCUGUUUACGUCCGGUUUCAUGUCCGGCUAAAACUGUUGGACCAAGCAUGGAGAAAGAGGGGUUCUAAUGGAAGAGAAUGAAGAAGAAGAGGAUGAUGAUGGCUAUCCUUCGUCCCCUGAAUACGAUGAUACUACAAUGGGGGAAGAAGCUGAAGUAGAGGCACCAUAUGAGCCCGCUGAUGAUAUUGGUCGGGCCAUUGCUGAUGCAAAGAGAAACUAUGCAAGUGAACAUGAGAAGCUGAAGUUGCAGCGCAUGUUAGAGGAUCACAAGAAAUUGUUGUACCCAAUUUGCAAAGAUGACAAGAAGAAGCUGGGUACCACACUGGAAUUGCUGCAAUGGAAGGCACAUAAUGGUGUAUUUGACAAGGGUUUUGAAAAGUUGCUGAAAUUGUUAAAGAAGAUGCUUCCAAAGGACAACGAAUUGCCCGACAGUACGUACGAAGCAAAGAAGACUAUCUCCCCGCUAGGAUUAGAGGUGUAGAAGAUACAUGCAUGCCCUCAUGACUGCAUCCUCUACUGUGUUGAGGAGUACGAGAAUUUGAAUGCAUGCCCGGUAUACGGUGCCGAGCACUAUAAGAUCGGGCGCGAUGACCCUGGUGAUGAUGUUGAGGUCCAGCGCCCCAGGAAGAGGAUUCCUGCCAAGAUGAUGUGGUAUGAUCCUAUAAUACCACGGUUGAGAUGUUCAAAGAGCAUGCCAAGUUGAUGCGAUGGCACAACGACGAGCGUAGGAAAGACGGGAAGUUGGGAGUACCCGCAGAUGCGUCGCAGUGGAGGAAAAUCGAGAGAGAUUGGCCGGACUUCACAAAGACGAGCGUAAGAAAGACGAGAAGUUGAGAGUACCCAUAGAUGGGUCGCACUGGAGGAAAAUCGAGAGAGAUUGGACGGACAUUGCAGAUGACCCAAGGAACUGUUGGUUUGGUUUAAUUGCAGAUGUCUAUAAUCCUUUUGGGAAGAAGAGUAGCAAUCAUAGCACCUGGCGUGUGACUCUAUGUAUUUAUAACCUUCCUCCUUGGUUGUGCAUGAAGAGGAAGUUCAACUUGAUGCCAGUGCUCAUCCAAGGCCCCAAGCAACCCGACAACGACAUUGAUGUGUAUCUAAGGCCAUUAGUUGAAGAUCUUUUACAACUGUGGGCUAUCAAAGGUGUACGUGUGUCGGAUGAGCACAAACAUGAGGAAUUGGACCUACGAGCAUUGUUGUUUGUAACCAUCAAUUAUUGGCCUGCUCUUAGUAACCUUUGAGGACAGAUAAACAAGGGAUACCACAUAUGCACGCACUGUCUAGAUGAUACCGAAAGUAUAUACUUGGAUAAAUGUAAGAAAAAUGUGUACCUAGGACAUCGUUGAUUUCAUCCAAUCAAGCAUCUCUUAAGAAAAGAAGGCAAGCAUUUCAAAGGUGAGGCAGAUUACCGGAAGAAGCAUGUCCAUCGUACUGGUGAUCAUAUACUUCAUAUGGUCAAGGAUUUAAAAUUAAUUUUUGGAAAGGGUCCUGUCGGACAAUCGGUUCCAAAUGGCGUUGGCGGACACGCACCCAUGUAGAAGAAGAAAUCUAUAUUUUGGGACCUACCUUUUUGGAAAGUUCUAGAGGUCCACUCUACAAUAGACGUGAUGCACGUGACAAAGAAUCUUUGGGUGAACCUGCUAGGCUUCUUGGGCGUGUAUGGGAAGAGCCAUAGGGGUAAUGAGAAAUUUCGUAGGGGGUUGAUGUGACAGUUGCCCACAAACCUACACAAGUUGUUCAGUUUUUGCACUAGUUGCGUGCGAAAAUUAUUGAAAUCUCUAGAUAUAAUGAUGGAAAAUACACAUGAUUUUCUUAUUGAAUACAGUGGAGUUGUACAAAAACACACUAAAAGUUGCUAAUUUUUUAUGACACUCGAGUGUAAUUAUGGAAACUGUUUAUGACUAGCAUGCAACUUGGCGUAAAUCAUAGGAAAUUUAUAGUAUCUAUAGGCAACUGAACAUCAAUCGUAGGCAGCUCACCAUCAGUAAUAGGCAACUGAGCAUCAAAGUUCAGUAAUUUCACAGUAUUUGUAGGCAACUGAGCAACAAUCAUAGGCAACUGAUCAUCAUUAAUAGACAAGUGGGCAUCAAUGUUUGGUAGUUUCAUAGUAUUUGUAGGCAAUUAAGCAUCAACCGCAUGCAACUAAUCAUCAAUGACACACAAUUGAGCAGUAACGAUGGGGAAGUUGAGAUAAUGUUGAUAAGAUUCACACGUAAACAUAGUGCAGUGAAGUUAUUUGUACGUAGCACUAAGUGUGCCUCAUGUCUUGUGUUAUUUUCUCAUUUUUACAAAAGUCAACCAAAUAGGCAGUCCAACUAGGCCAAGGAAAGUUGCUUCCCUGUAGCAGUAAUGUUGUCUCAAUAUCAUCCAAAGUUACGCAAAAAAAGUUUGUCGAAACCUAUCCAUAUGGGGUCUAGUGUUGAAGAACUCAUCGUAAAUAACCCAGCAGUGAAAACAGAUCUCAGUUCGGACGCUCGGCUCAAAAGAUGUAGCUUUUUGAAAAAAAGAAAGAAAGUAAAUGAUUGCACUAAAGUAGGGAACCAGAUCACACGGGGUUUCUUUUUUAGUCUGUCCUAGUCAUACACGGGUUUGCUACUUCCUUUUUUUGGGGAGCACUUGCUUCUGCAAACGGGCGUCCGUGCGCCUGCUAGUCACGUCCUUAUUGUAUAUGCUGAAAACAAAUGUGAGUUCAUGUUCCAUCACUAGAGGAAUCAACUUCAUUGCCAUCAGCCAUAGCGGACGACAAAGGACCAUUCCACGAACGACAAAGAGCUUUGCCAUCCACUGGUGGACGACAAAAUUUUCGCCAUAGAGAUAGGCUCGGUAAAGACCUUAUUUGCCAUCUGUCGGCACACAGCGGACGACAAAGAUAUUUGCCGUUGGCCUACCAUGGCUAGCAGAUAGAAAAGGUGCUAGACAGCAGCUGACAUGAAUAUACUCUGUUAGGUGGCUAACGGAGCCUUUGCCUUCUGCCAGGGCGUCCCCUUUGUCAUCUGCAAGGGCGUCCCUUUGCGAUCUGCCACGGGCAUCCCGUUUGCCGUCUGCCUUUGCCAUCUGCCAGGGGGCGUCCCUUUGUCGUCUACCAUGGGCACUGGCUGACGGCAAAGUAACCAUAUAGUCCACGCAUGCUGCUCCCAAGUUGCACACGUGGGUGCAACUUGGCACCUUUUCCAUCAGCUGGCAGACGGCUGAAUGCUCGUAUCAUCCCUUUUUGUUUUUUUUUUCAGUUCUUUCCCUGCAUAUUCAGAAUACUUCUAUGAUAUAUAUAAUUUCAAACAUCAUAUGUAGAUUUAGACAUCAUAGAAUAAGCAUAGGCCAUGUAUCCAACAUAAUCGUGAAAAUGUUGAGCAAGACAACACAUAUUUUCACAUAUUUCAUCCAAAUAUACACAUAGUUUGAAACAUCACACUCUUCAUCUAUACAAAUUGAGACAAAAAGAAAACAAUAGUAGCCCAUCAAAGUUACCUUCCAUGAAGUGAACCAAAUCUGCAAAAUGAGAAUAAGAAAGUUAGAAGGAGAAGAAGAAGAAGAAGAAGAGUAGAAGAAGAAGAAGAAGAAUAGAAGAAGAAGAAGAAGAAAGAGAAGGAAAAUAAUAAGAAGAAAGAAACAAGAAGCUCAUUCUUCUUCUUAUAUUCUUUCCCGUUCUCCUCUUUUCGCUUCUAUUCUUUACUUUUAUUUUUAUGCCAUUUUUGUGCUUAUUAUGUUAUUUUGGAGGAACAUAAGCUAAGUAUAUGACAUUUAUGAGGUAACCAAGGUUCUUAUGCCAUUUUUGACCUAACUAAGCUAAUUAUGUCCUAAUUGAACUAAAUAAGCUAAUUAUGUCAUUUUAGAGGAUAAUUAGCUAAGAAGGAGAAGAGGAAGAAGGAGAAGAAGAAGAAGAAGAAGGAGGAGGAGGAGGAGGAGGAGAAAAGAAGGAGAAGAAGGAGAAGAAGAAGAAGAAGAAGAAGAAGAAGAAGAAGAAGAAGAAGAAGAAAGAUAAGAAGAAGAAGAAGAAGAGGAAGAAGAAGGAGAAGAAGUAGAAUAAGGAGAGGAAGAAGGAGGAGAGGAGGAGGAUAAGAAGAAGGAGGAUGAGAAGAAGAAGAAGAAGAAGAAGAAGAAGAAGAAGAAGGUGGAGAAGAAGAAGAAGGAGAAGAAGAAGGAGGAGGAGGAUAAGAAGGAGAAGAAGAAGAAGGAGAAGAAGAAGAAGAACGAGGAGGAGGAGAAGGAGAAGAAGAAGGAUGAGAAGAAUAAGAAGAAGGAUAAGAAGAAGAAGAGAAGAAGAAGAAGAAGAAGAAGAAGAAGGAGAAGAAGAAGGAGAAGGAGAAGAAGAAGAAGGAGAAGAUGAUUACAAUACUUGUCUUAUUUUGAGCUUAUUAUGUCAUUUUGGAGGAAGAUAAGCUAAGUAUAUGACAUUUAUGAGCUAACCAAGGUUCUUCUGCUAUUUUCGACCUAACUAAGUUAAUUAUGUCAUGAAUGAACUAAA
rnacentral:lncRNA from 1 species